rnacentral:lncRNA from 1 species
AAAGAAAGAAAGAAAGAAAGAAAGAAAGAAAGAAAGAAAGAAAGAAAGCAAACAAAGGAAGGAAGGAAGGAAGGAAGGAAGGAAGGAAGGAAGGAAGGAAGGAAGGAAGGAAGGAAAGAGGGCAUUGCUUCAAAUCUGUUGGAGAUAUGUAAUUUAAAAAUCUCAUUGGAUAUUUCUAAUACACUACUAAUGAUACCUUAGAAACUGGCUCAAUGAUAGAGGGAUUUCUAAGCAGUGUAAUUUCUACAUUCGAUGAACAGCUCCAUGAAUAUGCAAUAUAAAGAAUGAUUGCAGCUAACAUUGUUUCUAAUAAGGCUUAUUCCAAUCUCUGGGUUGCUUUUAAUAAUCACAUAGUCAUUCAGAAGAUUUGUUCUCCUGCUCCAUUUUGAAGGCUGUUCUGUGCUUCAUAAAAUCAGUUCAUAUAAAACCACUGAGUUGAUUUUUCAUUUUGCCUUUUCUGGAUACCUAGGGAUACAAUUGCAACUUGUCAUUUAUUCUAUAUGCAUUUUUGAAAGAUAACAUUUUUUUGUAUUUUGGGGCUGUUGUAAAUAAAAUGCUGUAAUUACAUAGCUUAUAAACAACAAACAACUGUCACAUCCCAACCUAGAGGCUGAGAAGGCCAAGUAGAGCCAGCAGAGGUGGGUUCUAGUGUGAGCACACACUUCCUGCCUCACAGAUGAUGGUCUUGCUGUGCUUUCUCCUGUCAGAUGGGCAAAGGAUGUUCUUGGAGGCCUCUUUUAUGAGCACAAUAAGCCAAACCUGAGAGUCAGAGCCCUCAAUGUGAGCCCUUCACACAGGCUCCGCCACCACACACCCCCGUCUUGUGACUAAAUCUCAACAUAAUGGACUGGGAGAGUGGAUGGCACAAGGGUUCUGACUGUCACACCUGGGUGCGUGUCAUUCAAUAAGAGCAAUGAUGACUUGUUCCACCUAGAAAGUGCUCUGAAUAGAGAGGCAUCUCAAUGCAAUUUCUUCACCAUUACUCACUCAUCUUUUUGUGAUAUCACUUUCCUUUAUUAUCCAGAAACAUAAGUGGAGGAGGGAGAGCUACAGGGCAUGGAUCCACAGAAGAGGAAGUAGGAUAUCACUGUGAUAUAUUCUUUGUUUGUUUGUUUGUUUGUUUGUUUGUUUGUUUGAACUGAGUGUCAGAGAUCCUAGCAGGGUUCUACUCUAUGGACUGGAUGCCUCUUCUGUGAGGUCUUGAAUUCAUGGAAGUGAUUAAAAUCUGAUUUGGAUAGAUUAGCAUAUCUCAGAGAUUUCUAAUUAACUGAGAUUCUCUUCCCCUUGUCUUUUUUUCUCCCUCUUUCUUUUCAUUUUCAUUUUCAUUUUUUUUCUUGCCUUGAUUUUUGUUUUUAUUAAGUCAUUUUUUUUCUUUGUUAGGCAGAAUCUCACAUCAUAACCCCAAAUGACCUGUUACUCACCAUGUGGCCCAGCUGUCUUCAAACUCACCAGCCUCCUGCCUUAGCCUUCUAAAUGCUUGGAUUACAGGCAUGACCCACCAUAACUGGCUUUGUUUUAGUUUCAGAGAAGAUGAAACUGAUGUGCGUCAAAAAGUAAACUACCCACAUUUUAACUGGGCACAUUCCUGUCAAUCUGAUGAGAAUCUAUUUCAUACCCUGCUUUAGCUGGUAGUCUGUCAAGGAAAUGAGCUGAACAUGUCUGUGUACAGCUUUUGUGCCAUCCCUGGAUGAGCGAGCUGUCUGCCUCUAUGUUCUCCACAAAAUGGAAUAUAGCUGUACACCCAAGCCAAGUUAUGGAGGCUGGGAAGACCUAGAAUGUGGCAUCACUAUUUGGUUAUUUAGAAAAUUGUUACCUCAAAAAUGACCUAGGGGUCCUUAGAAUAAUAACACACAGAAGAAUAGCCUCAUUUUUCUGUUGGGCCCAGGAAACCAUGCCGAUUACCGACCGAGCUCUCAAUGGAAAAAUGCAGUCGGCGUGAACCACGCACGAACACAGCAGAGAAAGAAGAAAACACACACCACGAGGAACCCUAAUAGGACAAUACAUUAUAAGUCACAGUGCUACGGAGAAACCCAGUAGCCACAUGGAAGCAGAGACCAUGCAUAUGCAUCUACUCCGCAGCUCUGUGAAUGUCAGCAGCUCCCACGGACUGGAGAUCCCGUGAGAUCCCGUGAGAUCUCACCCAUAGCCUCAUGGUACAUCCACUUGGUGUGCUGGGAGAGUCAGGAUGAGGACCUGAGAAGAACAGCAGCUUGAACCUGACUUCAUUUAACAGCCCACUGCCCUCUUGCCAAGAACCCAUCACAGACCUUCCCAGAAGAGAGGGAUGAGCCUCACCUAUGAAUAAGUCCUCAGAAACUCAAAUUUGAUUCUAAUGGAUUGUUUUCUCAGAAAGACUGAGCAUGUCCCCCCACAUCUCUGUCAUUUCCCACAGUAGUAACCUCUGCAGAUGCCACAUAGAAAACAAAACAAAACAAAAAAACAUGAGGUUGGUGGGCAGAUAGGCAGGGUAUAAACAAACAGCCUUGUAACCCAGAAGCUGUGUGAUAUACAGUAAACUUCACAACACUGAAAAGAUGUCCUAUCUGUUAAAAUGGGGUAAUAACAACUACCCGAAUGUUUAGGAAUAGAACUUCAAUAAAUGAUACAUUUUAUAGUACAGCAGACCAUCCUGUAAAGGUUUCAUCCUUCACUGUGGUGAUAAAUAUCCCAAACCACAUUGAAAAGCAUUGCAUCUACAUUUAUCUACACUGUAACUGUACUGUAAAUCAUGGGGGAGGGGAGAAUCAUAAAAACACCACCUGUCACCGUGUCAUUAAAGCAAGUUGGAAGUGAUACUUACAGAAACACAGCAAGAGCACCCCCAGUCACACAGUUCAAUCUCUUAGCAAGCGUUUUCUUUCUAGCCCAGUGGUUCUCAGUUUGGAAUUUUUGGCACUGCCUAGAGAUAGUUUUGUUGUUAAAACUGAGAAAAGAGCCGGGCGUGGUGGCACACGCCUUUAAUCCCAGCACUCAGGAGGCAGAGGCAGG